rnacentral:rRNA from 1 species
AUUGAACGCUGGCGGCAUGCUUUACACAUGCAAGUCGAACGAGUGGCGAACGGGUGAGUAAUAUAUCGGAACGUACCGAGUAAUGGGGGAUAACUAAUCGAAAGAGUAGCUAAUACCGCAUACUCUUCGAGUGGCCGAUAUCUGAUUAGCUAGUUGGUGGGGUAAAGGCCAACAAAGGCGACGAUCAGUAGCGGGUCUGAGAGGAUGACCCGCCAAACUGGAACUGAGAAACGGCCCAGACCCCUACGGGAGGCAGCAGUGGGGAAUUUUGGACAAGGGGCGCAAGCCUGAUGCAGCCAUGCCGCGUGUCUGAAGAAGGCCUUCGGGUUGUAAAGGACUUUUGUCAGGGAAGCGGUACCUGAAGAAUAAGCACCGGCUAACUACGUGCCAGCAGCCGCGGUAAUUC